UGGACUUUAAAAUUAAGCCUAAAUUUCCAAAAAUCAUCCGGAUGAUCCAUCUGAAUGAGUUGUACUUUUAGUGCCUAAACAAACAAAACUAUCAUAUUUAUCCAAAUGACUCAUCCAGAUGGAGAAACAAACAGACCCUUAGUUAUUUGAUGGAAUCCAUUUUCUUGAAAUAGGGUUUCCGGAAGGUUGACUUAUAUAGAUGGGAAUUUGCGAACGAAGUUUUCUUAAGAGGUCAGAUGAUAGAGUUUAGAUAUCUCUAACUCUGAGACUCUUCUUAUUGAUCACUCCAACAUCAAGUACAAGCUAGAACAGAGAUUACAAGAUGAUAAACGAACAGCUUUGAGCUUGACUCCGGCAGCUUUGAGCUUGACUCCGGCUAGGCUCUCAUGGCGAGCUUCACCUUCGUCACCGAUCUCAUGGCGAUCGGGUCAAGAUGACUCAUGGCGUCAAUCUACAGCAACAUCAAAGCAUACGUCUCUCCUCGUCGUCUUCCCCUCUUAUACUCAUCGCUUUGUCACGAGCUGCUUCAUAAGUCUCUAACAGCAAACCCUCUGGAGCAGUCCGAAGCUUUGCCAUAUCCUUUCCUCUCAGCCACGUCAGCUCAGCACGUGCCAAGUCCAUGUAAACAUAUUUGAUAUCUAUCAAUACUUCCUCCUUUGAAAACAAGCUUGCCCACAAGCUUGUAUGGAAAUAACCAACCAUCCUUUUGGUACUCAACAUGUAACUCCUCUGAGAUGAAAGCACGGCAAGCCUAUAUGCCUUAAUUGAUUUCAGCAUAUCUCUCUCUAUUCUUCUGCCACGCUCCUUACUUCUCCAGCGAUGCCAAACAAAGCCAGAACUUCUCCAAUGACUGAGCACAACCUGUAAUAGCCGAACUUGCACUUGCUUUAGUCUAGCUUUGUAUUUGAACCUCCAUGUUUUGUAACACUUCUUCCAUGUCAGCCUUUCUUGUAUCAGAGUUUGCAGCAUCUGUCUCUUGAGAAGCAUCAAUAACACAGCUCUUCUUUCUUUAAGCAAAUGAUAAUUCACCACUUCUAUCUUCCAUAAUAUGCUAUGUCCUGUCAUCUCCUUCUCUUUCCUAACGUAUUUGUUGAUGAGAUCAGACUCACUUGCUGUUGUAAACCACCAAAGCAGCCCACACACUCUUAUUCUCGUAUAUACUCCAUCCCUCAAAGACAAGCUUGCCCACAAGCUUGGACUGAUUAACAUGAUGGACAAACGUUCAUGAGAAGACCCCUUUGACCAAACUGAAGCAGAUUUAAACCUCCAUUUAUGCUUCACCUGAAACUCUCGCACACCAACUAACAAAUCUUGCAACGCUUGUAACAUAUGUCGCAUUUGCAACUGAAGCAUCAGCCUUAUACCCUUGACCCUCAGACACGUAUGGUAGAGUUCAAGACAAGGAGAAAACAAGCUAUCAAGCAAAACGUUGCCACUCCCCACUCUCAAUCUUCCAAUCCACACAAAAACACAGACUUUCCAACAAUGCAUCGAUUGUCUUUUGAAAUUCUGCCAAAGCUAUGGGACAUGAGAUUCGCUCUUCCAUGAAUAAACUCCAAUUGAUCCCCCAAGUAUGCUCUGCACCAACGUCUGCCUUAUCAGUGACCUGUGAACAAAUGGCUACAGCCACAAGAAAUUCUGAAGCGGAAACUAGUUCUAAAUUCUUCACUCUCCACUUGUGCUUUACUUUGUAAAUCAGAUCACAAAGAAACAACUGUAUUAGGUCCUUGAAAUCAUGUCUCGUGGUCACUGCAAGAAGUUUACUACGGUCCGUUUCUUCUGUGACGUAAUUGGAAUCCAACUGUAACAAGACUCUCAACCGAUUCAAUGGUUUAAACUUGAACAUCCAAGUUUUGACGCACGUCUUCUGCUCUGUCUGACUAGGCAGAAACUUGAGAUCACAUAGUUGAUGAACACAAGCAACCUCCACAUUCUCUGCAUCAAGAAUCACAGUUCCACCUAGAAAUGCCACUGAAUCACUCACUACCAAAACUGGUGGUGAUGAACAUAUUUGCUGCACGAAUUUAAGCUCCUGCAACAAAACCAUGUUCUGCUCAAGUGGGAAAAAUGUAUCUUCUGUAACCAUGACCACUGCUUCUUCAGUUUCUGCACCGGAAGCUUUCUGGAGCAUUAUUGCUGGUGAUAAACAACGAGGAACAAGAUAAUCAGCAGAACUCACAGACACACUAUCCAAAGUCGUUAAUGCCAUCGUCUUCACCAAAUCUGGCCCCUGGAGAGCCAUCUCUGCAACUAAUCUCACCUCCUGAGCUGCAAUACAUAGUGACUUUGACACCUGCUCUGCUUCUUUCUCUGUACUUAGUUCGUCCUCAUGACCAGUCUCAGCAAAAACAUCUUUCUCGAGUAUUGUUUCAGAUUGUACCGAAACUUCUGCAGCAGGUACAGUCUGUAUCACUAGAUCUCUUUCAUGAACCGUCUCGGAAUCUAACGCUGGCUGAAUCAAAUCUGACAGAGAACAGUUCCUCACUACUCCAGUCUCAUGAACAAUGGCAUUGUGUGAGGUUGAUUCAACCGUGAAAGUUAUGUCACCAGAAUCACCUGAACACAGUCGGGAACGUCGUCGCUUGUCUGCUUCCCACUCCAAGAAAGCUUUGUGGCCUCUAUCAUAACUAGCUUUCAUUCUGAUCUUCUCUGGAUCAUCAUCAGCACCAAAUUGCCACAACAACGUUUCUUUCAUAUGUUUCCAGCUUCGAAUAGGCCUCAAAGAAUCGAUACCACUAAUGUACCUCUCAGCUUCAUCCACAAUGAAUCCAUAAGCCAUGUGUAACUUCUCGAAGUCAGUGAGUCCCUUCCGAGCAAAGUAAUGCUCCAUCCACGAAAUCCACUGCCUCAAGUCGACAUCCGGAAACACUGGAACCGUAACGAUUCCCAUGACUGCGCUUGAAUCCUCUCCGAUCGUUGCGAUCUGCUUCUCCACAGAGUCCAAUCGCUCUGCCGUCUCCUUAUCGUUUCGCAUCACCAAUGGAUCUCUCUGCAUCGUCUUGUUCGCAUCAUCUCUGGAAACUCCACGAUUUCCAUAACUUCUGUAAUCUUCGCAUCGUUCGUAAAACUCAAUAGCGCCUCCGACGAAUCCAGCAACAAAACCAUCGCUUCCCUCGAUUCUUGCCGCCGAUUCACCGAACUUCAUCAUCACCGUAACACCACCGCGUUAGAUUCGAUCACAGUUUCACCGCACCAAUGAUAGAGUUUAGAUAUCUCUAACUCUCAGACUCUUCUUAUUGAUCACUCCAACGUCAAGUACAAGCUAGAACAGAGAUUACAAGAUGAUAAACGAACAGCUUUGAGCUUGACUCCGGCUAGGCUCUCAUGGCGAGCUUCACCUUCGUCACCGAUCUCAUGGCGAUCGGGUCAAGAUGACUCAUGGCGUCAAUCUACAGCAACAUCAAAGCAUACGUCUCUCCUCGUCGUCUUCCCCUCUUAUACUCAUCGCUUUGUCACGAGCUGCUUCAUAAGUCUCUAACAGCAAACCCUCUGGAGCAGUCCGAAGCUUUGCCAUAUCCUUUCCUCUCAGCCACGUCAGCUCAGCACGUGCCA
rnacentral:lncRNA from 1 species